GACGAACGCUGGCGGCGUGCCAAUACAUGCAAGUUGAGCGCUGAAGGUUGGUACUUGUACCAACUGGAUGAGCAGCGAACGGGUGAGUAACGCGUGGGGAAUCUGCCUUUGAGCGGGGGACAACAUUUGGAGACGAAUGCUAAUACCGCAUAAAAACUUUAAACACAAGUUUUAAGUUUGAAAGAUGCAAUUGCAUCACUCAAAGAUGAUCCCGCGUAGUAUUAGCUAGUUGGUGAGGUAAAGGCUCACCAAGGCGAUGAUACAUAGCCGACCUGAGAGGGUGGUCGGCCACAUUGGGACUGAGACACGGCCCAAACUCCUACGGGAGGCAGCAGUAGGGAAUCUUCGGCAAUGGACGAAAGUCUGACCGAGCGACGCCGCGUGAGUGAAGAAGGUUUUCGGAUCGUAAAACUCUGUUGGUAGAGAAGAACGUUGGUGAGAGUGGAAAGCUCAUCAAGUGACGGUAACUACCCAGAAAGGGACGGCUAACUACGUG
rnacentral:rRNA from 1 species